GCACGCCUAACACAUGCAAGUCGAACGCAGUAGCAAUACUGAGUGGCAAACGGGUGAGUAUGAUGUGGGUAUCUGCCUUUUGGUUUGGAAUAACACGAGGAAACUUGUGCUAAUACCGGAUAAGCCCUUACGGGGAAAGUUUUAACGCCGAAAGAUGAGCCCGCACUUGAUUAGCUAGUUGGUAAGGUAAUAGCUUACCAAGGCUACGAUCAAUAGCUGAUCUGAGAGGAUGAUCAGCCACAUUGGGACUGAGACACGGCCCAGACUCCUACGGGAGGCAGCAGUGGGGAAUCUUGCACAAUGGGGGAAACCCUGAUGCAGCGAUGCCGCGUGAGUGAAGAAGGCCUUUGGGUUGUAAAGCUCUUUCGUCGGGGAAGAAAAUGACUGUACCCGAAUAAGAAGGUCCGGCUAACUUCGUGCCAGCAGCCGCGGUAAUACGAAGGGACCUAGCGUAGUUCGGAAUUACUGGGCUUAAAGAGCUCGUAGGUGGUUAGAAAAGUUAGUGGUGAAAUCCCAAGGCUUAACCUUGGAACUGCCACUAAAACUUUUUAACUAGAGUAUGGUAGAGGUAAGCGGAAUUUCUAGUGUAGAGGUGAAAUUCGUAGAUAUUAGAAAGAACACCAAUUGCGAAGGCAGCUUUCUGGAUCAUUACUGACACUGAGGAGCGAAAGCAUGGGUAGCGAAGAGGAUUAGAUACCCUCGUAGUCCAUGCUGUAAACGAUGUGUGCUAGACGUUGGAAAUUUAUUUUUCAGUGUCGCAGCAAAAGCGUUAAGCACACCGCCUGGGGAGUACGACCGCAAGGUAAACUCAAAUGGAAUGACGGU
rnacentral:rRNA from 1 species